GGCUGUGGAACAAAAGAAAUGUAUUUAUUGGUGCAACUUUCUAUUUUGAACAUUAUCUUCUUCAUCACAUUGCUAUUCUGAAUUUGUGUGUGCAAUGGAUUGAGGAAGACAAAUAGAGUACUCAACUGCAUAAUCUGAGGUUACUUCAAUACAGAGAACAGACUGUACUCCAUGCAAACAUGUGAUCCCGCGCUGCACAAAGUGCUAUCAUGAGACGUUGAGUGGGGGGAACGUUCUCAUUACGUACACUCAGACUCACUGUGGGGAGCGUACUGCCGCCGCCGCGCUUUGUGGUCAUGUGGUCUGUCUUCCGGGAGGAAGAUUUUGAGAAGCUGAACCAGAGAUAUUCCACAGUUUACGAAAAUGCUUACAGGUCUGGCACAGCAGGUGCAGCUGAGAGAUUUGAACCCAUGGCUUCAACGUUCAAGCUACAGGAGUUGUCAGUUUUGAGUCUGCAGUUUGUCACGUCAGCAUAUAGGACCUAUUGAAAAAGUUAUGUAGCUGCAACCAGGCCAUGUGACCUUCAGGACAGGAGGUAAAUAGAUACCAGGAGGAUAAUUUCUUUGAUAUGCAGGUUUGUACUUUAAAAAUGUGUAUGUUUUGACGUGAGCCACUGUGAAAUAAUCCUGGUCAGCAAUUGGAACGUGGAUAACUGAAUGUCUGGGUUGAAAAGGUUGGGGGAAAAGACAAAAGUGACAAAAGAUAUCUUCCAGACUUGUGGAAAAAGCUUGUACUAGAAGCUAGCAGAUGAGUGGUUAUACAAAAGUUGAAUACAGAUAAACUGGAGCAGUUGUGAACUCCUCAACUCUUUGGCUGUCCAACAACAAAAUGCAGGUCCCAGACGGCAGGUUUGUAUUACAGGCAGGGCUGGGGUAAGAGGAGUGAUGAGAACACUGGCUUGGAGUUGCCAGACCUGUCAGACCUGUUCAUCGCUCAUUGAAGAUCCUGCCUGCAUGAGUGUUUUUGAAUUCUGAAUUCCACAUUCCUUUAGAAGCUCAACAGUGGGCUGGAUAGACCAGCAUGGUAAUUGCUCUGUUUGUUCACAGUGUAAUUUUACUUGUGUUAGUUUCGUGUCACCAUUGAAGAUUUCAACCCUGUAUUUCCCCAACACUUUUUAAUGAAAAAUACCAGUAUGUUUAUAUGACAUAGUUAAUUGCACGGAAACUAAAAAGAUCUGGCUUCCAACACUAAUUUGCAACUAUGCAAGUGCAACUAGCAGUGCUGUGUGAUGUACUGCCGUUAUGGACUCUGUUCCCCGCAGGUAAGGUGAGGUUAAAAGCUCUAUAACCACAAAUGCAGACGAGCCAAACUCGUUUGCAUAAUACAGUAGUUAAGAUGCUUGCAGUGUGCGUAGUUAUGAAAACUUGUUAAUGUACUGUGUCCAAUUUCUGAUUUAAAAAAAACACAUUUUAUUAAAAGUUGAGAAUAUACAUUAGGACUGGAACACUUUUACAGUGCUGACAUAAUUUGGGACCAGUGUAAAAUUUUUAAUAACACUGAUGAUUUUAAAUACACAUUUCACAUGUGUACUUUUAUUUUCAAAUAUAUUUGUAAUAGCAGGGGAGAGAGUUUAACAUGUACAAGACUAGGAAGAUUCAAAUAAUGGCUGUAUCAUUACUGAAUGGUAUGUGCAAUGACACAGCCCCUGGACUAUAACUAUCGUAUGCCAUAUCCCAGUGUUCCCUCUCAGCUGUAUUCACCCGGACUGCCCACAAAGUGGCUUCUGUUUGUAAUAUGAGUGCUUAACCUAGACACCAGGCAAUCUGAACACAGUCUGUCUCUAGCAUUAUUAAUCUAAACUGCAGUGGAUCCUAACUCUUUCAACAAUGCUAACUGUAGAUUUCUAUUUUAGCUUUGUAGCUUUCGACAGAAGUGUAUUAGCAAGGUGACAGUUGGAAAUAGAAGACAAAGAAGAACAUUCCUCAUUUCCACUACGUUCUCAAAAGUUAGUCUUUAUAUGUGUAUAUGUAUAUUUUAGCAGAUCCUAAUCAAAUUCAACAUCACAAAAAAAAAAAAAACUUUUUCAUACACACAUCUUGUAUGUAGACCAGCACGGCUAUUGAUAUGUUUUUGUAAUAUUGAAAGAUAACUCCACUCAAAACCACCAGUACGUAGUUCAUGCAAUCCAGGGGAAUUCUCCAGUGCUGUAAAAUGCUCCAAUAAAGGUCAGCUGUAGGACCAGGUUGUGCAUAGGUCUACAAUGUCAGUGUGGUUAUAUGUAUUGUAACACCUCUGUUGGUGGCUGUGAACAGCCAGAUAGGAAGAUUGCAUCAACAGAGCUGAUAAGAGUGAAUGUGUGUGUGGGUGGGUGUAGAAUAUUUUCCAUGUGCUCAAGCCUACUGUGUGAUAGUGAAAUCCAGCCAUCUUUGCAAAAAAACAAAAAAAAAAAAAAAACAUUUUAACCUGUUAAAUACUACCAAGAAACAACUUUGUGGCAGGUAUUGAAGUUCUGAGUAGACUUUUAAAAUGGUUUAAGACAGUUUUAGCUAAUUGUACAGUGAAUUUGCUUCACAUUAGAGCACAAAGGCUUGUUCUUCUUCACUGUUAUUGGAAAUUAGCAUUAGGUGAUCACUAACAAGGGUUUUUUUCCCCCAUAAAAAUGGAAGCAACAAAAUUAAAAAAAAAUCAUGAUAAACCCCCCCCCCC